CCAGAGGGUCGGGCGGCCGCGUCCAGCGCAAGCUGGCCGAGGAAAGUCCGGGCUCCACGGAACGGCGGUGCCGGGUAACGCCCGGCGGGGGCGACCCCAGGGACAGUGCAACAGAGAGCAGGUCGCACAGGCUUCGGCCCUGCGAAGGUGAAAGGGUGCGGUAAGAGCGCACCGCGCGGCCGGUAACGGAAGCGGCAUUGCAAACCCCACCGGGAGCAAGACCGAAUAGGGGCGGCAUAUGGGGCUCGUUCCGCCCCGUCGCCCGGGUUGGUCGCUUGAGCGGCGGAGCAAUCCGCCGCCUAGAGGAAUGGUCGCCCAUCCCGAAAGGGUGGACAGAACCCGGCUUACAGACCCUCUGGCACU
rnacentral:RNase_P_RNA from 2 species